rnacentral:lncRNA from 1 species
AUAGAAUCAGAUUCUUUGGCUUUGGUUAAUAUUGUAAGAAAUGUGUGACAGAUCCCAUGGGAAAUGAUUGAAGCAAUAGAAGAAAUAAGAAACCUGAUGUCUAAUAUAAAUGCUACAAUCACAUACAUUUACAGGGAGGAGAAUACAUUUGUAGAUUAUCUAGCUAAUCUAGCUACUCAAUCAGAACAUACAAAAACAUUCAACAAAUUUUAGCAAUUACCACCAGUAGAAAGGAAGAUUUUUAAUAUGGAUAAGAUGCAAAUUCCUAAUUUGAGAAUUAACUAAGAUGAUAAAUCUAUAUUAAAAAAUGUUCGGCCUAUGCAACACAUGCAAAAUGUAGAUUCUGAGCAGCAAAGGCAUUUACAGUGAACUAAAUCCUUAUACAAGGACCAACACUGCUGCUAAAUACGAUAGCCAAAUCUAUGUUAGCUCACAAAAACUAUCACCAAAAACAAAGGAGAAAUGCGUCAUAUAUGUCCAUUGGCCUAGGAGGUCUGUCAUAAGCCUAUAUUAGCAAUGGAUCCAUCAUCUUCAAUGCAUAUCUAAUAGAAAAAGGAAGAGAAGAUUUUUAUCUUAGAUUCAAAGUGAUAAUGAAGAGCAGAAAGGUUACUUAUGGAUGAACUGCAAACCUUGGACGUUUCCCCUUUCUCUUUCACUCCAGAAACAACCCCACCACCUGAAACUUGGUAGAGUUUGUAAAGUGGAUAGGUGUAAAGACAAAUCUCUACAAAUGUUACCUUUGUUUUUUGACAACCUUUUUUGUGAAAAAGACACACAACACAAGGAUGGAACAAUAUUUAUCACCCACAGAAGAAGUAGAAUCAGUUUGGAAUUAAGGCGGCAACAUCUUAGAAGCACGUUGAAGGUGGAGAGGCGACCAAAGAUGGAAAUGGAAAUAAUAGGAAUUUCUUACAUUUUUAUAGCUAGGUCAAAUAGGAAAUUGGGCUUGACCUGCAAUAAUUUUCAGGAUUUGUUUUCUUUUUGGCAUUGGGCCAUAAACUUUUUUUGUUUUAUUGAUUAUUAAUAAAAUGGCUGCAAAGCCACAAAAAUUUCC